UCGGUGUCACUGGUAACAUCACUACAUUUCACAAUUUCUCCGACUGGUGCUGUGUGGCCGAGUUCAGUCUCCGUCUAUUUCCAGCUAGCAUGCUACGCUCAGCAUUCUUGGCUAACGGAGAUGAGUCUUAAGUUAAAACGUCCAUCUGAACAAGUUUAUCCAAACAUACUCAGGGUUUCCAGCAGCACUUUGCAGUUCGGGCGGCCCGCCUAAGCUGGGAAACUCUACCGCCUUAACUAGGUCGUCCAAAAAAAAAAAAUUCGCUGCACAAAAGGCCGUCAAGGCGGACGCGCUUCACACCGCGAGCGGGCACGCGCGCCACUCGGCCGAAAUGAGAGAAAGACGUGGUCCGUCACUGUCUGGAGGACAACUAGCCAGUUGAUAAAACGCGUGUCCGUGAGAACUAUUCCCAAGUGAUAAACAGAGACGUCAGUCAUGGACAAUAGCACUCAGUAGAGAGGAGUUCGAGCCAAAAGACCGCACCUUACUGUGCAGCUGUCAUUUUCGGCCUGAAGAUAUCUUUGCCUACAUUGAUGCUGAUGCAGAGGAGGGGCUCCCCUUUUCCAAGAUGGCGGCUCUAUUGACGCAUACGUUCCAAUGAACUGCCGCAGCCAAUGCGACAUCUAGUGUAUAUGUCUAUGUCUUGUGUCCAGUCUCUCUAACCCACGUCACAUUAUGAUUGGCUGCAGCUAUAUUCGGUUAUUAUACAGGCUACCAGUAAUUGAGGAUGAAAUCAUUCUUAUACCAGCAGAUUUAUGCACAAAAUAUACACGUGACACGUUGUGUCACAUGUUGAUUCAGCAAUAAUGUUUUUUUAGUACAUGACAAUCCCAUUUUAACCGGAUGAGUUACAAAUUUAAACGUUUGUGUUUUUAUUUAUUUAUUUGUUUGUGUUUAUUUGUUUGUGUGUUUGGCAAUUAGUGUAAUUAGUUGAUUUGAUGCUGCUUGCAGGCCAAAAGAAGAAAACCAGACAUUCAGAGUUAUUUUAAAACAAAGCAAAGUAACCUUUAUGGCUUUUAUAAUGAUUAUAGUUAUCUAAGCCAUAAAUGUUUUCCUCAGUGUUCAUAUGUCAUGAUGCAUCAGUGCAUGUUUCUGCCAGGUCACGUGACACAAGCAGUCCUGUUUUCCAGAGGCAGGGUCACAGGUGAGGUCAAUCAAUGACAUGGUAGUAUGUUGGCUGUGAAAGUUAUUAGUGUGACAAAUGUUGAGUCUACAGUAUAGUUCUUCAGGGUGUGUUUGAAAUAAGCUUUGAAUUGUUCAGAUGCCAUGCACCAUGCAAAGGCAGGUGGAGAGGCAGGAGGAAAGGCAGGGUCACAGGUGAUUCAAAGGCUUAUAAAACAUGAUUAGAAACGUUAUUUGUUUUGCACAUCUGGCAAUAUUUUAAUCCAUUAUAAAAUGAACAUUUCAGGUUAGUUGAUGAAACCAAAUCAGAUCACAAUAAACAACUUUACUGUGGGAUUUUGAAGUAAUAGCUCUUCAAGCUCGCUGUCUAUCUUUCAAUGUAAUUCAAAUUUUGAUUCAUUUCCAAAUGUGAUUCAUUUUUAAAUGGACAGUUUAAGUUGUUGGUUGAUCAACCCAACUCGGAUCACUUCAGAAUGACCUUCUCUAUGCUAACAGUAAUAAUUUUUAUUCAGAGUUUCAUUGUCUGCAAUCAAUAGUAAAAUUUUAAUUGCAAAUAAAAUAAAUCAAAAAAAUUUGAAAUGUUCAUUUUAUAAUGGAAUAAAUAUUAAUGCUUUCUGGCAUAAUUAUAUUUACAGAUACGGAGGCGGUAUUAUAAAAAAAAUUACAGUAAAAUUGGUUUAUCUUUAAGACCAUUUAACAGCUAACUAUACGAUCGGAGGAGUUGUCAGUGUGUAGCCUAUGCUAGACCUGAUUUGAACACAAUUACGUAUAAUAAAAAAAAAUAUAUUUACAUAAAUCUCAAAAACAAUAUCAAAAUGUACCUCGGGAAUGCUUCUUGGCCAUGCAAUGUUUUUCUUUUUGCAAGUAGUUAUAUGCAAUUUAACAGAUAUGAAGCACUCUAGAGACUCCAUACAUGUAAUAUACCUUAUUUUGCUGAAAAUUAUAAAGCAUCAUGUAUAUUAUUAUAUUAUAAUGCAUCAUGAUUUCACACACAUGAGUUAAAGUAGAACCAGGAACCCUCUGCUGCAGUAAGUGCUUUGACUGUUUUAAGUGAAAUAAUUGCUCCUCACAUCUCUUCUGAAUUUAUUUUGUUAGGGGACCUGAAUUGGAAUAUGUUUGAUCCACCAUCAUCCUUAAAACUACAACUAAAUGCACUAAACUUGUCCCAGAUUGUGCAGGCCCCUACAAGAUUUAAUAUUAAGACUAUAGAUUCUGGCUCAUUAAUUGAUAUUAUUCUUACUAACAGGCCAGAGAGGUAUACAUCUGGAGUGUUCUGUCAAAGCCUUAGUGAUCAAUGUAACAGCAUGUGUCCGUAAGGGCUCCGCCUUAAGAAAUCCUCCGGUGCCUGUUUUUAAACGUUUUUUGAAAAAGUUUAAUGAACAAGCUUUUAUGAAUGACCUGGUUGUUAUGGACUGGUACAGAAUCGGGCUUAUUCCUGAUGUUAAAGAUCC